rnacentral:lncRNA from 1 species
AAAUUAUAGAUAUUAAUAAGUUAUACAACUUUGUUGUUGAUGACUUUUUCAUUCGAAAUGUCGGGUCCCAAAACUAAUGAUUCGGAAACCGACAUGUUUAGACUGUAUCAAGCCCUGGAUCAGUAGAUUGAUACAGGUUCAACAAUCUGGCUCUUCAUUGCAUACAUUUGAACAGGGCUCUAGAGGAGUUGUUAUUACAAAAUAUAUGGGUAUUUACAAACUUGUGGCUAACUAAUACAGCAGAAGCUAUAGAAUGACUCAAUCCUAAUGUUUUGCUAUAGACUUAAACCAUCUAACUAAUCUAGACUUGAGAACUAGGUUGAAAUGAAACUAACUUAUAUGAUUGAACUCUCGGCUUCGGCAAGAACUCCAAAUUAAUUCUGAAAGAAGGGGGUUAAAGCAAGGGUGAGUACAACGUACUCAGCAAGUUAUUAUAUUCAAGUAUGAAUGUAUGAAAUAAUAGUAUUUGAGUAGAGCUAGAUCUAAUUGCAGAAAGCUGAGAAAGUAGAAGGAGAAAGUCUAUAAUGUUUUGAAAUGCAACAAUAUUUAAUAAAAUCUGGAGUUAUAUUUCUAACCAAGAUGCCAUAGUGAGUCCCGAUGCUCAAUAUCCGUGAGCAUGGCUAUUCGAAUAGUUUCAGAGAUACUCAUACUGUAGUAGAUGUACACUUUACCCGCAAUCCAUGACAUGCUAAUAUUCAUCAGCUUAGUCAUGGCAAAGCUUUUCAGUUCCUAACAUUAGUGGUACCUGUUCCAUGAACUAUAGUCCUCAUACGCUCUGAACGUAACGUUAUCAGCAGCGAGAGGAGUUCUGGCGUUCCCGAGGUUUUUAGAGAGAACUGGUUGAGAGACCCCCGUCAUCCCAACCAGGUUUUCACAAUACACACACAGCGCGCAAUAAUCAAUAUAUUUACCUACGCCUCGGUAAAUAUUAUAAUCGCCCUGCUCGGCGUAAAUUUGCCUCCUGCGCGAGGACUUAAAGAAGAACCACUGUACAGGGGUACCACCUUUGCUAGAUAACAUACUUUGCUAAGUCUGUCCCCAUUCUAGAAGUUGCGGUCGUACUCGCUCGUUCUUCACAUGUACUUGGCAAUCUUAUGUCGGUUGGAACAGUACUAGCCACCCGGAAAUCAACCAUUUCUACCGUACUGUUCCAAUCUAAGUUCAUUAUAUUUUAUGCAAUCUAACUAGGCAUGGCUAAGCAAAAUCUAGCAUAUAUAUCUGGUUUGCUAUGUGUUCAAGUUAUGCAUUUAAAAUCAUGAAUGGCUAAUGCAUGGAAUAAUAGGGAUAUAGAAUAUAGGAUAAUAAUGCUCAAAGGGGAGGAAUAAUAACUUGCCUUGCUCCAACGCAAACAAAUCCGAGAUAGGCAACCUGAUUAUCUGAUCCUCGAAACAUCACAGGUUGCCAUCCAAAAGAUAAUAGACUCUACUAAGAAAGACGAAGAACUAAAUUCAAUAAAAGCCAUAAAAUAACAAGAAAACGAUAAAUGGUUAGGAGGGCUAGGGUUUGGUUGUGUGCUAGUCGAUGCUAGAGCAUAACGACUAGGUUUGGUAUCUUCUCUAGCCGGUGUCAACAGGCAGCAUAACGGCUAGAGGGAUAGGAGGUUUGUGUGGGUUUAGUGGGGCGGAAGUGUUACUCCGACAACCGUGAGUGGCGGUGGAGCGGCUAGGAUCACACAGAGCCCGAGAGCUAACUGUGCGGCGUGCAAUGGAGGUCGAGGGGAUAAUGAAGCUCCGACCGUUGUACGCAUCAAGGCGUGGGGUGCCAGGAGCAGCACUUCGACCUUGGGUUUGGCCUUUGCCAGGCUUUAUAACCAACAGUUCGACGUCGGGGAUAGAAAACCACGAACGUCCCCAUGGAAGGCAUAAAGUUCCAACCGGCGGCUUUUUAGUGGCUAAAGGGGUAAUUUGGGACAAAAGAAAAUAUUUGAAAAGGCAAAUAUAAAUUCAAACGAUAUUUGAAUAAAUUCAAAUAAAAUUAUAAAAUAGCAAAUUUGGUGUCAAAAGAUAGGGUUUAAGUUUCACUGGAAUUUGAUCUACGGUUUAGGAGAUAUGAGCUUCUAAAGAUUGGGUUUUGAAUUAAAUCUAGAAAAUACGAAAAUGUACUGUUCAUGGACCCAGACAUGUACCUGCUCUUUUCCUUUUCUCUCUCUCUCCUUCUUCUCGUCUUCUUCUUCCUUCAGCCGAUAGAAGGGAGAGGGAGGGCGGUUGGGGCGACGGCGCUCCGG